GUCCAGACUCCUACGGGAGGCAGCAGUGGGGAAUAUUGCACAAUGGGGGAAACCCUGAUGCAGCGACGCCGCGUGAGCGAUGAAGUAUUUCGGUAUGUAAAGCUCUAUCAGCAGGGAAGAAGAUGACGGUACCUGACUAAGAAGCCCCGGCUAACUACGUGCCAGCAGCCGCGGUAAUACGUAGGGGGCAAGCGUUAUCCGGAUUUACUGGGUGUAAAGGGAGCGUAGACGGCAUGGCAAGUCAGAUGUGAAAGCCCGGGGCUCAACCCCGGGACUGCAUUUGAAACUGUCAGGCUGGAGUGCAGGAGAGGUAAGUGGAAUUCCUAGUGUAGCGGUGAAAUGCGUAGAUAUUAGGAGGAACACCAGUGGCGAAGGCGGCUUACUGGACUGUAACUGACGUUGAGGCUCGAAAGCGUGGGGAGCAAACAGGAUUAGAUACCCCCGUACA
rnacentral:rRNA from 1 species